GCUUUAAUACAUGCAAGUCGUCGGGUAAGGAUCCUUCGGGAUCCUAGAGCGGCGUACGGGUGAGUAACACGUAUGUAAUCUGCCCCUAUCUGGGAGAUAGCCCUUCGAAAGGAGGAUUAAUAUCCCAUAAUAUAUUUGGAUGGCAUCAUUUGAAUAUUAAAGCUCCGGCGGAUAGGGAUGAGCAUGCGUCCUAUUAGUUAGUUGGUGAGGUAACGGCUCACCAAGACAUCGAUAGGUAGCUGGUCUGAGAGGAUGAUCAGCCACACGGGCACUGAGACACGGGCCCGACUCCUACGGGAGGCAGCAGUAGGGAAUAUUGGGCAAUGGAGGCAACUCUGACCCAGCCAUCCCGCGUGCAGGAUGAAGGAUCUAUGGUUCGUAAACUGCUUUUGUUAGGGAAGAAAAAGGCUUAUUUAUAAGCC
rnacentral:rRNA from 1 species